rnacentral:rRNA from 1 species
GACUCUCGGCAACGGAUAUCUCGGCUCUCGCAUCGAUGAAGAACGUAGCGAAAUGCGAUACUUGGUGUGAAUUGCAGAAUCCCGUGAACCAUCGAGUCUUUGAACGCAAGUUGCGCCGAGGCCUCCUGGUCGAGGGCACGUCUGCCUGGGUGUCA